rnacentral:lncRNA from 1 species
GAGAAGGAGAACAAGGAGCGAUUGCUAUCUUAGCAGUAAGGGAACAAGAAAGUUUCUGGAAAGGCGUAACAGUGAUGAAUGCUCCCCAGAGGUCAAGGUGGGGACUGAAUUCUUUGGGUUCAACAAUUAGAAGGCCGCUCUUUACCUCGGUGUCAGUAGUCGCAGGUAGGCGUGGUGAUGGUGGAAACCAGGUUGCGGUGGUUAACGGGGCUGGAAGGCAAGACAUGGAUGAAAGAAGAAUGAGAUAAAGAACCAGAUUUGCCCUGAGUUAACAUCUGUGCCACUCUUUCUCUACUUUGUAUGUAGAGGCUGCCCACGAGUGGCGUAGGUUCACACACCUGGGAACUGAACCUGGGCCACCGAAGCAGAGCAUGCCUAAGGGGUUACAGCAUAUAUUCCUGAAAUUCUGGAUGGUGGAAAUCCUUGCCCUCUAAAAGCAGAAGUCCCUCUGGGUGCAGACUGAUGCUUCCCUUCAAAUCUGGAGCUGGAGAAGUUUCGUCAUGGAGAAAGAGCCCUCUCCCACCUGCGCCCAGCGCUUUUGACUUUGAAUCACCUCAAGGUGAAGGACGAUAAUUAGUAUACUUACUUAACGCAGGUCUGGCUUAUUACCUUCUGAACGGGGUGGGGGCCGUUUCCUCCCUUGCCUGUGUGGGUUGGAAGGACAGCCUGGGAUGGAUGUCAUCUGCUCCUUGAUGUAAGGAAGGGAGACUAACACAAGGCGUUAAAAACAUCUUUUUCCUUACUUCACUCGACUCCUUGCAUCUGUCACAGACCCUGCCAGGCUGACAGAACAUUACACAAAUAACUCUCCUUCUUAAGCAGCGACGAGGCAGCAGUAGGCAUUUUUUCAUUUAGAGUCUAUCAACUGAGAAUUGAUAAAGUCAUCACAGAACAGCUGUAGUUUGACCCUGACCUGACAAAGGAGAUCGAAAAUGUCUCCUGCGGAGAGAAGCGAGGGGGCUGGGAACAUCCGUUGGCUCAGAAAGAAGCUGCAAGUCGGCUGAGGGCUGACACCCAGGCACUCCGCCGAGUGUGUUUAAUAACUGAGAAGUAAAUAAAGAAAGGGCAGUCAAUAAACAAUCGCGGGUUAAUAAAUUAUUCAUCUUAACAAUACUUCCAGUGUUUGCCCAGAGAAAGGAGACCGUCUUCAGGUUUUCUUCCAACCUGCUCGCCUGCUCUGAAGCAGCCUGGCUGCGGAGCUGUUCACAUUCUGGACAGCAGAGGGAGCUCGUGUUACAUCUAAGACACGGCCGGACUGGAACCUUCCAGUGCCUCUCCGUGUUUGUGAAGGAGAGGAAGAUGGAAAAGAUAGGAAAGUGUUGAGAAGAGGUAGAGAGGAAAAUAGAAAACAAGUGGAUAGGCACGGAAAUGGAAAAAGAC